UGACAGUAAUGCCCGCUGACU
rnacentral:miRNA from 1 species